GAUUCCAGCCCUAAGGUCAGGACCCACUGGGACCUAACUGGCACAUACCCAGUGCUGAGCCAAUCACUGUGGCCAGGGAGGAUGGCCAGAUUGAGGUCGUGUGACCACCCUCCCUAAGGAAACUCCUGAGCUGUUCAACCUGUCUUCCUGUGUGGGAGUGAACCUGAGAGGACAGAGGAAAGACGUCAAACUCAUAAGCACGGUGUGGAACUGGAUUACCACUCCCCCAUAUUCGGUGCCCUGUAUCGAAGUGCCCUGCUCGGUUGGAGGAUUAUACAGCACGGCCCAUGUUGUCCUCAGGCAUGGCAGAGGGGCUGCUGAACAGUGAAAACAGAUGUGAGCACACGCGUGAAGAACCAGAAAGACGUCAAACUCAUAAGCACGGUGUGGAACUGGAUUACCACUCCCCCACAUUCGGUGCCCUGUAUCGAAGUGCCCUGCUCGGUUGGAGGAUUAUACAGCACGGCCCAUGUUGUCCUCAGGCAUGGCAGAGGGGCUGCUGAACAGUGAAAACAGAUGUGAGCACACGCGUGAAGAACCAGGGGGAGUCAGCUUCCGUGUCAUAAGGACAAACAGUCCCUUGGAGUGGCCCAUAUGGAAAGAAACCAAUUUGUCAGCACCAGUUUGUCGGCCAUGUGUGUGAGCCACCUUGGAAGUAGAUUCUCCAGCCCCAGGUCACAUCCACAGGUUCCACGGUAUAGGCUUACCUUGGCCGGUGACUAUUCAGUCCACUACAGCAGACAAGAAUGAUUCCAACAUUUUUUGGACCGAGCAACUGAAAGAAUGAAGCUUUCAUGAACCAAGACAGGAAAGGACUAUGAGAAGAGCAUGUUGUCGAAGAUGUUGAUCUGAGUUCUGAGUUGAUCUUAAUGUGCUCAGAUGGGGCAGGUGCUUGGUAGGGUGUCCCACCCUCCUAAGCUCAGAGAGUCUUGAGCUGUUGUCACCAGCUAGGCCCCAAAGCCUGACCUUUACUGCCUACCUGUUUAUUGUACUCACUGACCUUUCUCUCACCUUUUUCCUUAAGCUCUUCUUUCCAGCUUAUCUCUUAACUCAGGCAAAAGACCUGAGGGACAUAACAUCCCAGAUGGAAACAGAAAUACCUCUCAAGCAAUAACAACUGCCUAGACCACCCAGACCAGUUUGAACUUAACCCCCCACUCAUGCCUGUGCAGAUGGACCAUGGAGAGAUCCGUGGAGUGACUGACAGUUACAAUUACCUCAUUAUAGUAGUAAAAUCUCUGCCCAAGGAGGAGCAUACGCCUCAUAUACAUAACAUACGAUGUAUGUAUAGGCAUGUUUCCUUAAGGUGCCUGCGCUUCCUUUUGCCCCCCUCUACAUAGGAUGACAAGGCUUCCAUCUAAAUAUUCAUCCUAACCCUAUAAGUAAAAGGAACCUAUUCACCCUCGCU